ACAUGGAUUUCCCAUGAUUUCAGAACAUUUAUAUUAACUUAUUGAUCUAUUAAUUUAUUGAAACGACGUUGACUGAGGCAAUCACUAUAAAUCUCCCGGAUGAAUCCAUUCACAAACGCAAAAUGUCCACCCCUAAUAACAGGUCCAUUGUAAUGCACUGGGGCGAUGCAAAGAGCUCACAAUAGCGGGAAAUUUGAAAAGGCUGACAAGACAGGCUUGAGAUAGGAAUGCAAGCAAAUGCAAUUCUGAGAAAAGGAAUGAACUUUUACAACGUAUACGUGUAUUUCUAUAUGACAAGACAUCCGACUUUCUUUUCCUGAUAUUUCUGCGUAUGAGAGGAAAAAUUUAAAAUGGAAACUUCAGGAACUGACUUCAGCUUUGAUUUUAAACAUUGGUGAUAACAAGAUUAACCUUGGAGUAAUCAAAGAGAACCCAGUUACAACUGCAGGUAUAUAUGCACGCAAUCCUCAAUGAACUUGUGCAUUACGUUCCCAGGGACUACCCAAUCUGUUUCCAUGGAGACCAAAAAGUCAUUGAAACCAUCAACAAGCUUGCGGCCGCGAUGGUUCCUACCCCAAAAAAUAUAGACUCAGAGAAUUCCAUCCAAUCCCCCAGGAUUUCCAUUUCCGGUCUCUUGUAAUGAAGACAUUACAAGGUUUAAAAGAAGAUCAAGUCUAUUACAUAAUCCCUGCUUCAGGACAUCAUCACUGAGUUAUACUCAACUCAUCUCACACGGAAAAGGGCUCAAGAAUAUCAGGGAGGCAUUCGGGCACCGUUCCGUUAAUGAACAGAUGACCAGUUUCAGUCACACAGAUGAUUUUCUCUUGAACUUGAUGGUACGUCAAUGGUGGAGUGCUCUAAUGUAACCUGCAAGCGUUAGGAAGCUAGGUGGUUCCAUGUGGACUGCGUCAUGCUGACAGACGGGGAAAAAUGAGUGACUGACUGGUUCUACAGUAAAGAAUGCACAGAAUCUGGUAACGGCCAAUCCUGUAAAUGCAGGAGUAAAGAUGGAGGCAUUUUAAAAUGGACUUGUUCGAACAGUUCCUAUGAGAAGGGGAAGUCCUUCCAUCACUCCUGCGUGAGAUCGACUACAAUUU